CGCAGUGAACAUGUUCCUGGCCCCGGGUGGAGACGCAAACCCUGAACGCCGCAGCGUGGACCCGAGCUCCCCGUUAGGACAGUCUCUCCCGGGAAAAUUCCUCUCGCGACCACAGCCUGUCGUCUGGGGAAGGCGAAGGAGACACUGCUCAAAGCUGGGGACGGAGACUUUCCUGAAGCCGCGGCUCUUUCCGACUUCGCCAGUGACCUUGGACGCCUCUCCUAAACAAGGUGUCUCUUGAAUUUCCUGAUUCUGGGGAUAAACGUGGCUCUUCAUUUUCUAACUCUCAAGAGGUAAUAGCGACUGGGUUAAAAACAAACAAACAAAAAACAAAACAAAACAAACAAACAAACAAACAAAAAACCACUCCAGACAUCUUUAGUAACAAGCGCAAUAUACGUACAAUUUGUACUGACUUUAGGAGAGGCUGAAGGAAGCCUUAAGACUCGGAAGAAAACCGUUCUGAUUUAUUAGUACAAAUGCAAAACUAAUUCAUCAGCCCCUCGACCUGCUUUUCUGGGAAGGUAGUUUGAAGAAAUUGGCGGGAAGAUACUUUGCUCAGAAUUGCCAGAGCCCCGUGGAGCUCCAUCCAGAACAUGGAGCUUUACUAAAGUCUCAUGAUGAAACCGAUUUUAUCAUUCUACCCUACCAUAGCUGAGGGUCAAAGGGCAGCCACCACAGUUUGGCUAAGAGCCCUUCUUGCGUACAGAAUACUUCAAACUGGCGCUGACCUCGGAGGCCUGGAUGGAAGAACACCCCAGGUAUUCAUUCUUCUGGAGACCAGCAGAUGAGAAACCAGGGUCAUCCCCAUCAAGAACUUUUCCACCUGCCUCAGUUCUAGGGAGAGCCGGUCCACUGUCCAUUCACAUGUG